AGCACUAUCGUGGGAAAAGUGGGACACAAGGGCCAGCCGGUACUACAAAUACGAUGGCGAGAAGGAUGCCACGCUGGAAGCCGAGCAUGGCGGGAAUUAUAGUCCAGUUGACCCGAGACUCCCCGUAGCAGGACAUAGAGAAGGAGCGGGAAGAAUGACUACAAGCAAGAUGGCCUUUUCCCCCGACCCGACCUCCUUUCCAGGCACUCACACGCCCUCUGGUCCACAACCCUCCGCGCGUGUGGUACCUGACGGGAGUCGCAGUCCAGCUGCUGCCUUCCCGCUGCCAUUUCUACUCAUCAGGAACAAUGGAAAGGUGAAAAGAAACGAGGACUACAAGCAAGAUGGCGAUCGAGGGGCGUACACCUAAUAAGUCGAUCUUAUGAAGUGGGAUGGGAAUAGUAGUUUUCUAGCCUUCCUAUGUUCCUUUAAGAAUGCCAGAACCGGGAGGAUAAAGAGACUACCGUAAAGAUGGCAGGAUACCUAACCUUUCCUGGCUGCUUCAUUCUACCACUUGGAGCUCCUCGCCCGCCUGAACUAUCAAAAUCCCGCACUCGAUGAUGCAAAGCCAGACGGGAAUUGUAGUCUUCCUCGCUCCCCUCUUUAUCUUCUGUCGAGACAAUGGAAGUGAGCGGGGCGGGGACUACCACAAAGAUGGAGGGUGAAGGAGCACAUGAUGCUAUGGGAUUUGUAGUCCAACCGCUAAUACUAUUCUCGGCGGAUGUGUAGGAGAGGACUACUACAGAGAUGGCAACCUAGUCGCUUGCCCCUCGGUGCCGGUACCUGGUGGGUUAUGUAGUCUCUGCUUUAGUUGUACAGAGAAAGGACGCUACUGUUGAAAUAUGUAUCACCGUGAACACGCCAAAUUGCUAGCGGACGGAAACGGAAAGUCUCUUUGCUCUUGGCCUCCUUUUCUAAAGGGCUUGCAGGGAAAUGUAGUCCCAAGUUUUCAUUCUCCAGUGGCGGAGAAUUGAUGUCACCUGUGGGAAUCAGUGCGGGAGAGAGAAACAUCGGAGUGACCUGGGAAUAUAGAAUGUCCGCCUUUUCGGAUCGUGAAGAUUUCAUAUUUUAAAAGAACGCAAACCAUAACCAAUAUUGUCGCGACAAGGGAGGCGUGGUUCUCUCCGAAAAGUAUACCCACGCUGUUGUUCCUUAUAAAGACUGGACGUCUCGCACACGAUGCUUCCUAUCUUAAACCUUUGCAAAUUAAUACCUUACACGUGGUGCGAACCAAAGGAAGACGACCUUGGAAUAUACAAAAUCUCCUUUCCACCGUAGGAAGUCAUCAGACCUAAGUUUCUUACCCGAAAGGGGUUAUGAUUAAUACUCACCUCCACGCUGAAUUAGCGUUAAAAGUAUUCAAGAAAGUAACCAGUUCUGGCACGGGGCGUGUGGCUGCAGUUAUUUUUUCGAGCUCCCUUUCAGCCCAGCCGUUUUGGAAGCCCAGGAAUCCAUCAUGCCGGACAGUUAGCUUCUGCGAAAAGAAAAUUGACGAGUAGGCUACCCCCAUCUUAACCCCCACCCCUCCCUCUUCAGUCCUCAUCUGAGUCUUCCAACCAUCUCUACCCAGCACUCUUCCCAGGGGGCGCCCUCUCUCCUUUUAACAGAGGACGCACACACUGACCAAAUUUUCUCAACCUGAAUUGUAGCCUUUGGAGCUGUGAAGCCUCAUGCCUUGUCUUUUGAGCCUUGGAGGCUUCCGGUGAACUCUCAGUUGCCAAAGGGACUGCUUUGUGCCAUGUGGAUGACCUCCUGCGUCCUAGAAAAUUUGCUCAGUACUACCCCAAGCCAAUCUCUGCUUCCUUGUCUCUGCUGGGUUUCCAGCCCUACUGGAGACUUGGUGGGUGUGGUUUUUCUGCUUAGGAAGUUAACUCCGGUCAAAACUGUGUCAAGUCUCAGUUUGCUAGGACUACUAGCCUUAACCUAAGUAGGGGCUCCUUGCAGCCCCGUAACAGUCGUGGCUCCCAGGGAAGUGUCUGUCCAUUUUAAAUCCACACGGCGGCGUUUCUUUCAACUAGCAAGGACUGCUUUCUGGCCUUCUAGCGCUCUCCUUGCGUGGACCAAAGUUGUACUUUUUCAUCCAUCCCACGUCUCCACCCAGUUGUUUACCCAUCAAGUUCCUAUUAAAAUUCCACUGCCACAAUAAAACCUUCUAGUAAUUCCCAGAUGA
rnacentral:lncRNA from 1 species